rnacentral:rRNA from 1 species
ACGGAUGAUCUUGAUCCUUCCGCUUGAACACUUAUUGAAGCCUUCAGCAGCCUGAAAAGGUGGCCUCUGACGACUCAAAACAAUCGAGGCAUCCUUAAAUGCAAGUUGUCACUAUCGCGACAACGCUACUGUCAAACUGCGGGGACAUCCUAACAACCUUGACACCAAGCGUGAUUGGAAACAAUUGCGUGGCCGAGCUAACAGCCCUGGGUAUGGUAACAGUUCAAGAGUUUGAGCCCAUCAGCGAAAUGGAUAAUCCGCAGCGGCAUCCUAACGGGAAGCAUCCCCAUGGAUUGUCGUUCACAGGCCAAAUGUCAGUAGGUAGAACGUUACGUCCUGCCAAGAUAUGGUCGAAACCCCAAGAGAGAUCUUGGGUUUGCAACGAGUCAAAGCCCGACUCGCAGAAUACAUGUUCCGUAGGUGAACCUGCGGAAGGAUCAUU